rnacentral:rRNA from 1 species
ACACAUGCAAGUCGAGGGGCAGCAUCAUCAAAGCUUGCUUUGAUGGAUGGCGACCGGCGCACGGGUGAGUAACACGUAUCCAACCUGCCGACAACACUGGGAUAGCCUUUCGAAAGAAAGAUUAAUACCGGAUGGCAUAAUUAUUCCGCAUGGGAUAAUUAUUAAAGAAUUUCGGUUGUCGAUGGGGAUGCGUUCCAUUAGGCAGUUGGCGGGGUAACGGCCCACCAAACCUACGAUGGAUAGGGGUUCUGAGGGGAAGGUCCCCCACAUUGGAACUGAGACACGGUCCAAACUCCUACGGGAGGCAGCAGUGAGGAAUAUUGGUCAAUGGACGAGAGUCUGAACCAGCCAAGUAGCGUGAAGGAUGACUGCCCUAUGGGUUGUAAACUUCUUUUAUACGGGAAUAAAGUUAGCCACGUGUGGCUUUUUGUAUGUACCGUAUGAAUAAGGAUCGGCUAACUCCGUGCCAGCAGCCGCGGUAAUACGGAGGAUCCGAGCGUUAUCCGGAUUUAUUGGGUUUAAAGGGAGCGUAGGCGGGUUGUUAAGUCAGUUGUGAAAGUUUGCGGCUCAACCGUAAAAUUGCAGUUGAUACUGGCGACCUUGAGUGCAACAGAGGUAGGCGGAAUUCGUGGUGUAGCGGUGAAAUGCUUAGAUAUCACGAAGAACUCCGAUUGCGAAGGCAGCUUACUGGAUUGUAACUGACGCUGAUGCUCGAAAGUGUGGGUAUCAAACAGGAUUAGAUGCCCUGGUAGUCCACACAGUAAACGAUGAAUACUCGCUGUUGGCGAUAUACGGUCAGCGGCCAAGCGAA